rnacentral:rRNA from 1 species
AGGACGAACGCUGGCGGCGUGCUUAACACAUGCAAGUCGAGCGGAAAGGCCCUUCGGGGUACUCGAGCGGCGAACGGGUGAGUAACACGUGAGUAAUCUGCCCCUAGCUCUGGGAUAGCUCCGGGAAAACCGGGAUUAAUACCGGAUACGACCACCUUAGACAUCUUUUGUGGUGGAAAGAAUUUCGGCUAGGGAUGAGCUCGCGGCCUAUCAGCUUGCUGGUGGGUAACGCCUACCAAGGCGACG